AGCCGGUCCAAUGGUAGUGGGUUAUCAGAACUUAUUAACGUGAGUGUCACUAAGGUUGGUAUACAACCCCCCACGGCUAAAUUUGACUGUCUUAAA
rnacentral:Y_RNA from 1 species